GUCUUUUUGAAUAAAAUUUAAAGUUGAAUCUGCCCACUGAUGAUAUAAUUAAAGGGCUGCAGUAUAUUGACUGUACAAAGGUAGCAUAAUAAUUAGUCUUUUAAUUGAAGACUUGUAUGAAAGAUUUGAUGAAAUAUAAACUGUCUCUUUUUUAUAAUUAGAAUUUAAUUUUUCAGUAAAAAAGCUGAAAUUAAUUUAAAAGACGAGAAGACCCUAUAGAGUUUUAUAAUUGAGUUAAUUAUAUAUUUGUAUUUAAUUUUAAAGUUAAUUGAUUUAAUUAUUUUAUUGGGGUGAUAGAAAAAUUAAAUUAACUUUUUUUAAAUAUUAUACAUUAAUUAAUGAUUUUAUGAUCCAUAUUUUAUGAUUAAAAGAAAAAAUUACCUUAGGGAUAACAGCGUAAUUUUUUUUUUUAGUUCUUAUAAGAAAAAAAGUUUGCGACCUCGAUGUUGGAUUAAGAUAAAAUUUAAAUGCAGAAGUUUAAAAUUUUGAUCUGUUCGAUCAUUAAAAUCUUACA
rnacentral:rRNA from 1 species